rnacentral:rRNA from 1 species
AGUUUGUUGGUGGGGUAAAGGCCUACCAAGACGAAGAUCCGUAGCUGGUCUGAGAGGACGAUCAGCCACACUGGAACUGAGACACGGUCCAGACUCCUACGGGAGGCAGCAGUGGGGAAUAUUGGACAAUGGGCGAAAGCCUGAUCCAGCAAUACCGUGUGAACGAUGAAGGCCCUUGGGUCGUAAAGUUCUUUUAGUGGGGAGGAAUGUGACGUUACCCACAGAAAAAGCACCGGCUAACUCCGUGCCAGCAGCCGCGGUAAUACGGAGGGUGCGAGCGUUGUUCGGAAUUAUUGGGCGUAAAGGGUACGUAGGCGGUCUAUUAAGUUACUUGUAAAAUCUUAGGUCUCAAGCCUAAAACUGCACGUAAUACUGGUAGACUAGAGUUUGAUAGGGGAUAACGGAAUUCCUAGUGUAAGGGUGAAAUCUGUAGAUAUUAGGAAGAACACCAGUGGCGAAGGCGGUUAUCUUGGUCAACACUGACGCUGAGGUACGAAAGCGUGGGUAGCAAAUAGGAUUAGAGACCCUAGUAGUCCACGCCGUAAACGAUGAGUGCUAGGUGUCUGGAGCUUGUCUUUGGGCGCUGAAGCUAACGCGUUAAGCACUCCGCCUGGGUAGUACGGUCGCAAGACUAAAACUCAAAGGAAUUGACGGGGAUCUGCACAAGCGGUGGAGCAUGUUGUUUAAUGCGAUUUUACGCGCAGAACCUUACCUACUCUUGAAUCUCGGUUGCGAUUUCCAGAGAUGGAAAUUCCAGUUCGGCUGGACCGAUGACAGGUGUUGCAUGGCUGUUGUCAGCUCGUGCUGUGAGGUGUUAGGUUAAGUCCUUUAACGAGCGCAACCCCUAUCCUUAUUUGCCAGCGAGUUAUGUCGGGAACUAUAAGGAAACUGCCGGUGAUAAACCGGAGGAAGGUGGGGAUGACUUCAAGUCUUCAUGUCCCUUAUGGGUAGGGCUACAAACAUGCUACAAUGGGAGUUACAAUGGGUAGCGAAGGAGCGAUCCGGAGCCAAUCCACAGAAGCUCUCUCAGUUCGGAUUGCAGGCUGCAACUCGCCUGCAUGAAGUUGGAAUCGCUAGUAAUCGCGGAUCAGCACGCCGCGGUGAAUACGUUCACGGAUCUUGUACACACUGCCCGUCACACCAUGAAAGUUUACUUUACCUUAAGUUAGUGAGCUAACCUUCGGGAGGCAGCUAACCACGGUAGGGUAGGUGAUUGGGGUUAAGUCGUAACAAGGUAACGGUAGGGGAAUCUGCAGUUG